CUUGGUCAUUUAGAGGAAGUAAAAGUCGCCAACAAGGUUUCCGUAGGUGAACCUGCGGAAGGAUCAUUACCUAGAGUUGUAGGCUUUGCCUGCUAUCUCUUACCCAUGUCUUUUGAGUACCUUCGUUUCCUCGGCGGGUCCGCCCGCCGAUUGGACAAUUUAAACCAUUUGCAGUUGCAAUCAGCGUCUGGAAAAACUUAAUAGUUACAACUUUCAACAACGGAUCUCUUGGUUCUGGCAUCGAUGAAGAACGCAGCGAAAUGCGAUAAGUAGUGUGAAUUGCAGAAUUCAGUGAAUCAUCGAAUCUUUGAACGCACAUUGCGCCCCUUGGUAUUCCAUGGGGCAUGCCUGUUCGAGCGUCAUUUGUACCUUCAAGCUUUGCUUGGUGUUGGGUGUUUGUCUUGCCUCCGCGCGUAGACUCGCCUCAAAACAAUUGGCAGCCGGCGUAUUGUUUUCGGAGCGCAGUACAUCUCGCGCUUUGCACUCAUAACGACGACGUCCAAAAGUACAUUUUUACACUCUUGACCUCGGAUCAGGUAGGGAUACCCGCUGAACUUAAGCAUAUCAAUAAGCGGAGGA
rnacentral:rRNA from 1 species